rnacentral:lncRNA from 1 species
GGAGGGAGGUGCACAUAUGAAACAUUGGCAAGGCUGUGAAAACUGAAUUAGUAAGCUGCAAUCUGCCAGAAGAUAGAAAAGAAGAUGUGGAGACUAAUCUUCUCUCACAUUUGGAGACUAGGGGAAGGAACUCCUCAACCGUUGGUCUUGUAAUUCCCAAGGGUAAACCCAAAUAAGUGAAAGGUAAACUGCCACUAGAGCAACCAAAAAACUGAGAUAGGUAAUGAAGUCUGUCAUCUGUAAUAUUAAUGGGUACCUUCAUAGACUUGGAAUAGUUUACUUUGAG